UACGUAGGGAGCAAGCGUUGUCCGGAAUCAUUGGGCGUAAAGCGCGCGUAGGUGGCCUCAUAAGUCCGCUGUGAAAGUCAAAGGCUCAACCUUUGAAAGCCGGUGGAUACUGUGGGGCUAGAGUACGGAAGAGGCGAGUGGAAUUCCUGGUGUAGCGGUGGAAUGCGCAGAUAUCAGGAGGAACACCGAUGGCGAAGGCAGGUCUCUGGGCCGAUACUGACGCUGAGGAGCGAAAGCGUGGGGAGCGAACAGG
rnacentral:rRNA from 1 species